UACGUAGGGUGCGAGCGUUAUCCGGAUUUACUGGGCGUAAAGCGUGUUCAGGCGGCUCGGCAAGUCGGGCAUGAAAUCUCUCGGCUCAACCGGGAGGGGUUGUCCGAUACUGUCGGGCUUGAGGGCAGUAGAGGGUGGUGGAAUUCCGGGUGUAGUGGUGAAAUGCGUAGAUAUCCGGAGGAACACCAGUGGCGAAAGCGGCCACCUGGACUGUACCUGACGCUCAAACACGAAAGCUAGGGGAGCGAACGGG
rnacentral:rRNA from 1 species